AAUGAAUCAAAACUUUCAACAACGGAUCUCUUGGCUCUGGCAUCGAUGAAGAACGCAGCGAAAUGCGAUAAGUAAUGUGAAUUGCAGAAUUCAGUGAACCAUCGAAUCUUUGAACGCACAUUGCGCCCGCCAGCACUCUGGCGGGCAUGCCUGUC
rnacentral:rRNA from 1 species